CUGAGAUUGUGCCAUUGCACUCCAGCCUGGGCAACAAGAGUGAAACUUCGUCUCAAAAAAAUUUUUUUUAAAUUAACUGGGUGUGGUGGUGGGUGCCUGUGGUCCCAGCUACUCUGGAGCUUGAGGUGGGAGGAUUGCUUGAGUCUGGGAGGUCGAGGCUGCAGUGAGCCAUGAUCGUACCCUGCACUCCAGCCUGGGCAACAGAGUGAGACCCCAUCUCGGGGUAGGGAAAAAAACCUAAAGAACCCAGGCAAUAUCUUGUGUCUGCUGGCGCCACUGGCCCAUAUCUGGGACAAGGCUAGAAUAGACUCAGCCAUGGCCUGGGAGAGCAGACUGAGCCUGUCUCUUCCCACCCCUAUCCCUUUUGACUUUUUUCCUUGGGAUUCCCCUACCAACACACCAAAUAAACUUAGCAACCAAAAGAACAGGCAGCACAAGGUGGUAAUCGGAUUUUCUAACCCAAGAGAGGAGACUAAGGACACUUUGAUGCAAAGGUCUUAGCCCAGCCCAGCCCCUUAGGGAUACAGGAGAUCUGAGAGCAAGAUCUGAGAGCAAAUAAAGCAAGUUUAUUUGAGAACAAUUUCAAAAGUGAAGGUGUUCCUUGUCACCCUAUAUUGAAAUUCUGGAUUGUUCCAGUCAAUGAGAGUAGAAGUGUUUUCAUUUCUCUCACCUUCUUUUAUUUGCUGGGGGAUAAAUGUUGUGGCUUGAAGGCAGAGCAAGGAAUUUGUGUUCUAUACUGGAACUCUAAGUGAAUCAUCUCACCUGUGAACUAUUGUGAAAAAAGCCUAUGACUUCAAACUUGUGCAAGAUGGUGCCAUAGAGGAUAAAAACAAGAUGGAGGCAGGAUGGGAUGGCUCACGCCUGUAAUCCCGGUAGUUUGGGAGGCCGAAGCGGGUGGAUCACCUGAGGUCAGGAGUUCGAGACCAGCUUGGCCAACAUGAAACCCCGUCUCUAUUAAAAAUACAAAAUUAGCCGGGCAUGGUGGCGUGCACCUGUAGUCUCAGCUACUCGGGAAGCUGAGGCAGGAGAAUCUCUUGAACUUGGGAGGCGGAGGUUGCAGUGAGCCAAGAUUGUACCACUGCACUCCAGCCUGGGUGACAGAGCGAGACUGUCAAAAAAAGAAAAAAAAAAAGAGAUAGAAAAUAUUAUCAUUUGUGCUUCUGUGAUAUUUUCCCUUUUUGGAUAAAUGAUGAUUGAUUUAUUCUAAACUCCUCUGGGGAUUGGCAAACUUCAUGUUAACUUCUAUAUCCUAACACCUGAUGUGUCACCAGACUCUUGCCUCACCGUCAGGGUGUUCCAUUCCAUCCCACUCAGCCGCACCAGCACGAGUGAUUUUACCGUGAAGUAGGAAAGAGAAUUAAUGAGAAAGCACUUCCAGAAUUCUGCUGGGGAAAGUAAGAGAUUAUAACAUUUUAAGGGAUCAUCCCAGUUUCAAAUAUUCACCCCAAAACUGAUCCCAUAAGCCUUUACAAUAUCACAACAGCGGUGGGCAGAUUGCCUAAGCUCAGGAGUUCG
rnacentral:lncRNA from 10 species